rnacentral:lncRNA from 7 species
GAGAAAGCAGACAUGCAUGCACCCGGCCACACGCCUUCUUGUGCACGGAGCGUCUGGCCCGGGGGAAACGGAUCUUGAUUUGGUUUCUCGGUAAGAGCAGCUUCUGCACGGAGCGAAUCGUGGUGCACGUAUCAGGAGGAGGCACGCAACGGGCUCCUUGCUCCGCCGCUGCAGCAACGCCAUGCCGACACGUGACGUGGCGCGGGUGAUAUUCACUGGUACACUGAAGCUGCUGCUCGCUUGCUUGCUUUCUAGCUGAU